rnacentral:lncRNA from 1 species
CGGUGGUUUCGGCAGCGAUCCAUCAACGCUUAUCUCAGAAUUCCUCCUUUGGUGCAGACGUGAAUUAGCAUAGCAGUAGUCGAUUUCUCCUUGGGCUUCGUCCUAGCACCACCAUCGAUUGGGAGCGAGGAGAAUCGACAACAAUGAUCCUUUCUGUUCCUCCAGGACUAGUACGAUCCGUGAGAACCUCGAAGUUUCUUUUUUCCUUUAGGCUUUUAGGCUCGCCAUUGUCACCAGUACACGUGGGUGAUAAGCCCAGAAAUUAUUAUAGAACGCCUUACGUUAAUCCUGUUGCAUAGUCGUCACCAAGAUUUUGGUUGGGAAUCAAUGUAUCGCUUUCGACCCAAACGCUGUUGUGCG